UCACGCCCUGCCUCAGAGGGGCAUGUCCUGACUUUGCUUCUUUCUGAAAGACUGAGAUUCCUGAUGAGAAAUUUGCUACCAUCUCUAGUGCUUUAAGAUUCGGUAAUUAUGUUGACCGACGGGGGCCAACGGUUCUUGGUAACGCGGGAAGCCAGAGCCGACCCUCCAGCUAACGUGGCGAGGCUCUCCUCCCUCACCCUGCGACUGCAAAACAGACUGAAAAGCUGCAGAUGAAGCAAUCAGGUGCAUUGGAGGAGUGGCUGCUACAUUUGCUGAUUUAAACUUCACAACAACACGAGACGGGAACCAUUAGGAGCCCUAUUUCAGAGAUAAGAAACCAAGGCACAGAAAGGAUCUUGUGUCUAGGUUUUACUUUGUGUUUCCUCCACUUUCUUCCCUGGGAUUCCUCCAAGAAGCCCCCCAGUCUUUGCAGUUGAAAAGCCCACAGGUGUGGAGUACUCGUCACGUGACCCCAAGGCUGUCCCAAGGCCCUUCUGUGAACCGUGGGGAUUGCUGAGAAAACACCCUGGGAGUAUUUACACAGACAACCAAAUGACAUCUCAAAAUAUGGCUGCUUUCAUCCGUCACACAUAGGCUUCCCAAUCCAUAGUAUCACUUCCGGAUUCACCCCGGUCAGCCAUCUUGUUGAAAUAAAUACACA